rnacentral:rRNA from 1 species
GACGAACGCUGGCGGCGUGCCUAAUACAUGCAAGUAGAACGCACAGUUUAUACCUUAGCUUGCUACACCAUAGACUGUGAGUUGCGAACGGGUGAGUAACGCGUAGGUAACCUGCCCGGUAGCGGGGGAUAACUACUGGAAACGAUAGCUAAUACCGCAUAAUAUUAAUUAUUGCAUGAUAAUUAAGUGAAAGGUGCAAUUGCACCACUACCAGAUGGACCUUCGUUGUAUUAGCUAGUAGGGGAGGUAACGGCUCACCUAGGCGACGAUACAUAGCCGAUCUGAGAGGAGGAUCAGUCACACGGGAACUGAGACACGGGCCAGACGCCUACGGGAGGCAGCAGUGGGGAAGAUUGGACAAGGGUCGAAAGCCUGAUGCAGACAUGCCGCGGGUGUGAAGAAGGUCUUCGGAUUGUAAAGAACUUUAAGUUGGGAGGAAGGGCAGUAAGUUAAUACUUUGCGGUGUUGACGGUACCAACAGAAUAAGCACCGGCUAACUUCGUG